AGGACGAACGCUGGCGGCGUGCUUAACACAUGCAAGUCAAGGGGACCCGCAAGGGUAACCGGCGAACGGGUGCGUAACACGUGAGCAACCUACCGAAAUCUGGGGGAUAGCCGGCCCAACGGCCGGGUAAUACCGCAUACGCUCUUUCCACGGCAUUGUGGAUUGAGGAAACCUCCGGGGGAUUUCGAGGGGCUCGCGGCCUAUCAGCUAGUUGGCGAGGUCACGGCUCACCAAGGCGACGACGGGUAGCUGGUCUGAGAGGAUGGCCAGCCACAUUGGGACUGAGAAACGGCCCAGACUCCUACGGGAGCAGCAGUGGGAAUCUUGCGCAAUGGCCGAAAGGCUGACGCAGCGACGCCGCGUGUGGGGAGGAAGCCGUUUCGGGGUGUAAAACCACGUGUUGCCCCGGGACGAACAGCCUCCUUAGUGGAGCCUGACGGUACCGGUGAGGAAGCACCGGCUAACUCCGUGCCAGCAGCCGC
rnacentral:rRNA from 1 species